UACGGGGGGGAGCAAGCGUUGUUCGGAUUUACUGGGCGUAAAGGGCGCGUAGGCGGUCAGCACAAGUCAGUUGUGAAAUCUCCGGGCUUAACUCGGAAAGGUCAACUGAUACUGUGCGACUAGAGUGCGGAAGGGGCAACUGGAAUUCUUGGUGUAGCGGUGAAAUGUGUAGAUAUCAAGAGGAACACCUGCGGCGAAGGCGGGUUGCUGGGCCUGGUCUGACGCUGAGGCGCGAAAGCGUGGGGAGCGAACAGG
rnacentral:rRNA from 1 species